rnacentral:rRNA from 1 species
GACAGAGGGGCAAGCGUUGUCCGGACUGACUGGCGUAAGGCGCGCGCAGGCGGUCAGAGGCGUCGGUGCUCAAAGUCCACCGGCUUAACGGUGGGAGCGUGCCGAUACGCUCUGACUGGAGGGCGGCGAGGGUGGUGGAAUUGCCGGUGUAGUGGUGAAUGCGUAGAGAUCGGCAGGAACACCAGUGGCGAAGGCGACUACCCUGGCCUGUUCUUGACGCUGAGGCGCGAAAGCUAGGGGAGCAAACGGG